rnacentral:tRNA from 1 species
AGCUUUAUAGUCAAUAAUGAUAUAAAAUUGCAAAUUUUAAGGAGUACUAUAAUACUAAGGCUU